rnacentral:lncRNA from 1 species
GAACAGUUAUCUAUGAUUUGAAACUAGAGGCUGUAUCAGCUUUUUUCCAUUUUGGCAGGAGAAAGAAGGGAGGGGGCUGGAGAGGACUCGCUCGAGGCUGUGUUGGAGAGAGGAAGAGACUGGAUGCAAAAUGAGGAAGCUGACCAUUCUCCUGAUUCAACGAGUCUGUUCUAGAACAAUGUAAUUCUCUAACAAAAUUUGCAUGUGUAAGGCCACAACAACGUUAAAUUGAAAUGCAGCA